rnacentral:rRNA from 1 species
UACGAAGGGGGCUAGCGUUGUUCGGAUUUACUGGGCGUAAAGCGCACGUAGGCGGAUCGAUCAGUCAGGGGGUGAAAUCCCAGAGCUCAACUCUGGAACUGCCUUUUGAUACUGUCGAUCUGGAGUAUGGAAGAGGUGAGUGGAAUUCCGAGUGUAGAGGUGAAAUUCGUAGAUAUUCGGAGGAACACCAGUGGCGAAGGCGGCUCACUGGUCCAUUACUGACGCUGAGGUGCGAAAGCGUGGGGAGCAAACAGG